UACAGGCUUAACACAUGCAAGUCGAGGGGCAGCAUGAAAGUUUGCUUGCAAACUUUUGAUGGCGACCGGCGCACGGGUGAGUAACACGUAUCCAACCUGCCUCAUACUCGGGGAUAGCCUUUCGAAAGAAAGAUUAAUACCCGAUGUCAUAGUCCUACCGCAUGAUGGGAUUAUUAAAGAAUUUCGGUAUGGGAUGGGGAUGCGUUCCAUUAGUUAGUUGGCGGGGUAACGGCCCACCAAGACGACGAUGGAUAGGGGUUCUGAGAGGAAGGUCCCCCACAUUGGAACUGAGACACGGUCCAAACUCCUACGGGAGGCAGCAGUGAGGAAUAUUGGUCAAUGGACGACAGUCUGAACCAGCCAAGUAGCGUGAACGAUGACUGCCCUAUGGGUUGUAAACUUCUUUUAUAUGGGAAUAAAAUGUUCCACGUGUGGGAUUUUGUAUGUACCAUAUGAAUAAGGAUCGGCUAACUCCGUGCCAGCAGCCGCGGUAAUACGGAGGAUUCGAGCGUUAUCCGGAUUUAUUGGGUUUAAAGGGAGCGUAGGUGGAUUGUUAAGUCAGUUGUGAAAGUUUGCGGCUCAACCGUAAAAUUGCAGUUGAAACUGGCAGUCUUGAGUACAGUAGAGGUGGGCGGAAUUCGUGGUGUAGCGGUGAAAUGCUUAGAUAUCAAGAAGAACUCCGAUUGCGAAGGCAGCUCACUGGACUGCAACUGACACUGAGGCUCGAAAGUGUGGGUAUCAAAAGGGAUUAGAUACCCUGGUAGUCCACACAGUA
rnacentral:rRNA from 1 species